CCCCUUCCGUUCGGGGGCGCCACGCCCUAUAUUCGGUGCGUCGCUCGAAAGGGCGACUAUGGCGAUAAACGGUCAUCGGAAUAAGCCUUACGGACCCGGGGGCGGUACCCGGCGCCUCCACCAGAACCCAGAACCGGCUCUUAUGGGGCUGGGCUCCGGCGGGGGCGAAAUAGGAUCGACGUGGGUGUAAAGGGUGCUCUUUCGCUCGGCAUGGUACCGCCGUUAUCGGGCUAAACUUAUAGUUGCCAACGACAACUAUGCUCCGGUUGCGGUGGCCGCGUAAGCGGUCUCUGACACCGAAACCAAGUCCUUGCGGGUAGCACCGUAGGGCGGGGCCCGGAGGCGCCUGGCAACAGAAGCCUCCACU
rnacentral:tmRNA from 1 species